AGGAAAGAAACAUGUAAUUUUGCACUUGGGGGGGGAGGAGCCCUUCAAACCCAGCCCUGAAAGUUUCCUGAUUGGUUGAGGAGAAGCCGGCAGAGAGAAAGUGGGUGGAAAAGGAGGCGGGAAAUUGUCUUGAUUUGAACAAGUCACCUUGAACUUGCCAAGUCUGUAGGAGUCAGAUUAAGGGAUGGGGAGCUGAGCCAGCAGGCCUGGCAUGGAAGGCAACCUGAAGAAGAAAACCGAAGAGCAGUUUGAAGCAAAUCUGCCAGCUUUAUUCACUCCUGGAAUGCUGAGAAUAUAAUGAACCAAUCUGCAUUCUCCCUCUGGCUGACUAGUAGGAGCUUACAAAAAAUGGUUUACAAGCAUGUUAUUGUCUCUGCACCUUUGAGAAGGGGGCAUAUUUCCUCUGAAUUAGAGAAAAAAUCACACCAUGAAGAGGCCCCAAUACAAUUCUAAGUUCCGAACACCUGGAAAAUGGAAAACCUGUGUGACUCUCAAAAGGAAUUACA